rnacentral:rRNA from 1 species
GAUGAACGCUGGCGGCGUGCCUAAUACAUGCAAGUCGAGCGAACAGACGAGGAGCUUGCUCCUCUGACGUUAGCGGCGGACGGGUGAGUAACACGUGGAUAACCUACCUAUAAGACUGGGAUAACUUCGGGAAACCGGAGCUAAUACCGGAUAAUAUAUUGAACCGCAUGGUUCAAUAGUGAAAGACGGUUUUGCUGUCACUUAUAGAUGGAUCCGCGCCGCAUUAGCUAGUUGGUAAGGUAACGGCUUACCAAGGCAACGAUGCGUAGCCGACCUGAGAGGGGGAUCGGCACAAGGGGACAUGAGAAAGGGCCAAAACACCAAGGGGGGGCAGAAUGGGGAAAUUUGCCGAAAGGGGGGAAGGCUUGACGGAGCAAGGCGGGGGGGGUGAGAAAGGUCUUCGGAUGGUAAAACUUUGUUAUUGGGAAAAAACAAAUGUGUAAGUAACUAUGCAGUUUUGAAGGUAACCAAAGAAGAAGGCCCGGGUAAACUAGUG